rnacentral:rRNA from 1 species
GUCUACGGCCAUACCACCCUGAACGCGCCUGAUCUCGUCUGAUCUCGGAAGCUAAGCAGGGUCGGGCCUGGUUAGUACUUGGAUGGGAGACUAAACACGAUAUCUGCAGUGGUGUACU